UGUGGACAGCCAUCUUGAAUACUCGAAUUGGGCAUCAGAGGGACACUGCAAGUCAUGCCAUGUUUUCACGCCACUUCAAACUUCAUCUUUUAGAAGAGCUUCUCCGUUGAAAAAGGAAAAGAAUGCACAUCCGUGUGCACAUACGUGUAUCAGGAUGCACGGCCUGGAUCAUUUUACAUGGCUGAGGACAAGAGCGUAAGGAAUGCAUUUGUGAUGUGCUGAAGGCAUGAAAUUCAGACAAGGAAAGAACAAAGAACUGUCACAGAUGGAAGAGGAGAUAACACAAGAAAAUGCAAUGUAGGCUCCCGGAUUAAAUUCUAAAGCGGAAAAAGAACACUGGGGGGAAACUGGUAAAAUUCUAAUAAGAUGUGUACUUUAAUAUUGUAUCACUGUUAAUGUCUUGGGUUUUGAUAAUUGUGCUGUGAUUACAUAAGCUGUAAACAUCAGGGGAAGCUGAAUGAAGGGUACGUGACAACUCUGCAAAAUUUGCAAUUUUCCUGUAAGUUUAAAAUUAUUUCAAAAUGAAAG